UACGUAGGGGGCUAGCGUUGUCCGGAUUUAUUGGGCGUAAAGAGCGUGUAGGCGGCUAGACAGGUCCGUUGUGAAAACUCGAGGCUCAACCUCGAGACGCCGAUGGAAACCGUCUGGCUAGAGUCCGGAAGAGGAGAGUGGAAUUCCUGGUGUAGCGGUGAAAUGCGCAGAUAUCAGGAAGAACACCCGUGGCUAAGGCGGCUCUCUAGUACGGUACUGACGCUGAGACGCGAAAGCGUGGGGAGCGAACAGG
rnacentral:rRNA from 1 species